GGCCACUUUCAGAGGGGGGAGUUUGCCUGCCAGACUUGCCAUGCGCCAAAGAGCUUACUUUCAUCUUCAGAAUGGAAGCUGAUGAGAUAGCCUGUUUAAGUUGUACCUGUACUGUGCACACACAGAUCCAAAAGAUGGAGUUUGCCUACCUGGCUUGCCAUGCACCAAUAAAAGAUUCCUUUCAUCACCAGAACAAAGGCUGAUAUGAUACCACGUUCAAAUUCUGUCUGUGUGCUAUAGUGCCUUUGGAUAAUUCUGGGAAGGUGGAGUUUGCCUGCCAGGCUUGGAAUGUUCUAAGAAAGGCUUCCUGUUGUCCCCAACGUGGAGAUUGAUGAUAUACCAUGUCAUUAUGGACCCGAGAGCUCUUGAACACAGACCCUUCCAGUGGAGUUUGCCUGCCAGGCUUGGAAUGUUCUAAGAAAGGCUUCCUGUUUCCCCAACGUGGAGAUUGAUGAUAUACCAUAUCAUUUUGGACCCGAGAGCUCUUGAACACAGACCCUGUGGAGUUUGCCUGCCAGGCUUGGAAUGUUCUAAGAAAGGCUUCCUGUUGUCCCCAACGUGGAGAUUGAUGAUAUACCAUGUCAUUAUGGACCCGAGAGCUCUUGAACACAGACCCUUCCAGUGGAGUUUGCCUGCCAGGCUUGGAAUGUUCUAAGAAAGGCUUCCUGUUUCCCCAACGUGGAGAUUGAUGAUAUACCAUGUCAUUUUGGACCUGAGAGCUCUUGAACACAGACCCUGU